rnacentral:lncRNA from 1 species
GCUUGAUUUCGUGCAGAAGAUGGUACCUGCUCGAGGUGGUGUUUUCGCUAGACGGAAGUAAUGAUGUACAUUGUGUCAUUGCUGGCUGAAGUUGAUCGGACAAUCCUCAAUAUCACGUACAAUGUUCUACAAGCACAAUAUUGGUAAGUGGAAGUAAAAGUAAGUGCCUUGCCUAAUUGAGCUUAAACUUGUUAGUUGGGCGGCAACGCAAAUAUGAACUUAUAUAUGUGCUACUAAUUAGAGCAAAGGGGGUUCAUGAAAAGGACUAAUGCUACAUAGUGCAACCCCAAUUCCAAUGGAGAUGGUGAACGCUCUAGGGCAUCCCAGUUCUUUUUUGCUGAUCUAUCAGGUCCAACACCUGCGACUGCUCGUCAGGUCCAACAUCCGCGUCGAGGAGUCCUGCUUCGUUGCGAAGGGAGAAGUCGGUUUUCAGUCCCUCAUGGAGGCCAUGCAGUUCAUGGCGUACGUCUGUUCCAGGCCGGCGCUUUGUAGACAGAGCUUCAAAAUUCAGGACAUCUUGGAGGAGAACCGCUAGGGUUCUCUCGAGGAAGUUUAGGUCCAUCGGUGGAGCAGGAAUUCCUGAGCGAAUCUUGAAGGACAUCUUUCUUUCUAGUAAAUAUCUAAGCCGAAGAUAGCUCCCUAUGUAUUUGAUGCAACGGAUGUAAAUAUUUUGUUUAUGUAGAUGUCCAUCUGUGCUCUAAUCUAGUAGUAAUGAUACAAUAGUUUCUUCUCGGAUGCAUGUACUGCUUUCAUGUAAGAUUUAACAUCAGAUUGAAAAGAAAGAAAACAUGGUGCUUCAAGUA